rnacentral:rRNA from 1 species
GAUCAUGGCUCAGGAUGAACGCUGGCGGCGUGCCUAACACAUGCAAGUCGAACGAAGCACCUUUUGAGAUUCUUCGGAUGAUUGAUCGGUGACUGAGUGGCGGACGGGUGAGUAACGCGUGGGUAACCUGCCCUGCACAGGGGGAUAACAGCUGGAAACGGCUGCUAAUACCGCAUAAGCGCACGAGGAGACAUCUCCUAGUGUGAAAAACUCCGGUGGUACAGGAUGGGCCCG